GUGAGCUCCAGAGACUUGAAGGAGACUGAGGUGAGGUACAGUAAUAAGGACCCUCCCUCCCUCCCUCUGAUUAGAGACCCCAGACCAGGAUGUGAGCUCCAGAGACUUGAAGGAGACUGAGGUGAGGUACAGUAAUAAGGAGAUGCCUCCCCCCCCCCUUAGCGGUGGGGACCGGGAGUACAACUUCCACUUUUUGCAAUUUCAGAUGCGUUUUUUUGUGUCUAACUGCCCGUUUAUCGUUGAUGAUUGGUUGUUGCCGUGGGCAAUGGUGAAAGCGGAUACCUAUGGAUAAACAGAUAUGUGAACUCCUCUUGUAUUCUGAAAUGAAACCGGAGGGAGGAGGGGAGGACUGAGAACUAUUACCUGAACAUAAAGAAUAAAAAGAGGGUUUAAUGGAGAAAGAAGAUGUGAACACCUUCUAACGUGCGAGAGGGAGGGCCGGGCGAACGAGAGGAUGGACAGACUUCUUUCUCUUUGAUUCAUUUCUCUCUUAAUCUAGAAUUUUUCUCUCCCUGUUUUUUGAUGUUGGGUUUUAUUAAGCGGGGUGGGUGAGGAGAUGGGGGAGGGAGAAGUGGGCCGGCUGUGUGUGUGUUACCAUGUUUGCGUCCCAAAAGGGCACCCUAUUCCCUUCAUAUAGUGCACUACUUGUGUCCAGGGCCCAUGGGGAUCUGAUCAAAAGUGGUGCGCUAUAUAGGGAGUAGGGUGCCAUUUGGGACUUAUCCUCUGAGAUGGGUUCAGUUUCUCUCCGGACAGCAAGAUGAACACCGGGGUCACACCCCAGCACUAUAAAGAAGCACCCUUCCUUCCUUCCUUCCUUCCUUCCUUCUUACUCUCCUUGUUCUUUGUGACAUCACUGACUUGACACAACUUGAAAGUGUAAAAGCUUGAACUCCAUUUUUUCAGUCAUGUCUGAUUCAUUGAUUAUUUCAAGAAAGGAGGCAGAGAGGGAAGAAAGGAGGCAGAGAGGGAAGGAAGAGAGGGAACGAGGGGAAAAAGAGGAAGGAUGAGUGAAGAGAGGAGGCAGAGAGGGAAGGAAGAGAGGGAAGAAAGGAAGAGAGGGAGGGAACGAGGGGAAAAAGAGGAAGGAUGAGUGAAGAGAGGAGGCAGAGAGGGAAGGAAGAGAGGGAAGAAAGGAAGAGAGGGAGGGAAGGAGGGGAAAAAGAGGAAGGAUGAGUGAAGGAGGGAGAGAGGGAAGGAAGGAGGGAACGAGGGGAAAAAGAGGAAGGAUGAGUGAAGGAGGGAGAGAGGGAAGGAAGGAGGGAACGAGGGGAAAAAGAGGAAGGAUGAGUGAAGAAACGAGGCAGAGAGGGAAGGAAGGAGGGAACGAGGGGAAAAAGAGGAAGGAUGAGUGAAGAGAGGAGGGAGAGAGGGAAGGAAGGAAGAGAGGGAGGUCGGGGUACAUUUUAAAGGUGUUGGAAUGUGGCUCUUGCCUUACAGCUCUGACCUGUAAAUGAACACACGCCACUGAUUUUAUAUAUAUAAAUAAAUAAAUAUAUAUUAUAUACGAUGAAAAGUCCCUAAAAAUAAUUGGAUUAUGUUGUUGGGAGGGAGAACGGCUAAUCUGCCUUGUGCUCAAUUCCCUUUUGGUUUUUUAGAGAAUUGACUGUAAAUAAAAUAAAUAAAAAUAACUUUUUUUUAUAAUGCUAUAAAAAAUAGUUUUGUCUUGUUCAUAACCUCCUUUCUCUCAUCCUGUUUUUCUCUGUAUCAAGUUCAGAUAUUCAAGAGUUUAAAGACCU
rnacentral:lncRNA from 1 species